AUAUUUGUAUGCAUGAUUUAAAAUUAUUUUGAGAUCAAAAUUUACUCUUUAUUUAAAAAAAAUAGAUCUAAAAAUUUUGAUUUAAGAUCUAAAAUUAGUGUUUGUGCAUGAGAGAUUGGUCAUGAGUAGAUCAAGUUAGGUCCUGUAAUUAGAUUACAUAAAAAAAUUUUUGAUUUGAUUAUAUUGUAUCUAAAUCAAUUAUUAGUUGAUCAAAUCAAGUCAAGUAUUGAUUAG
rnacentral:lncRNA from 1 species